rnacentral:lncRNA from 1 species
CGCAAAAUUUGAAAAAAUUUUCGUCGUAUAUUGCUAUCACGUUGGCGUCGUCGUCGUCCGAAUACUUUUAGUUUUCGCACUCUAACUUUAGUAAAAAAGUGAAUAGAAAUCUAUGAAAUUUUAACACAAGGUUUAUGACCACAAAAGGAAGGUUGGGAUUGAUUUUGGGAGUUUUGGUCCCAACAUUUUAGGAAUUAGGGGCCAAAAAGGGCCCAAAUAAGCAUUUUCUUGGUUUUCGCACUCUAUAACUUUAGUUUAAGUUAAUAGAAAUCUAUGAAAUUUUGACACAAGGUUUAUGACCACAAAAGAAAGGUUGGGAUUGAUUUUGGGAGUUUUGGUUUCAACAGUUUAGGAAUUAGGGGCCAAAAAAGGGCCCAAAUAAGCAUUAUUCUUGGUUUUCGCACAAUAACUUUAGUUUAAGUAAAUAGAAAUCAAUGAAAUUUAAACACAAUGUUUAUGACCACAAAAGGAAGGUUGGUAUUGAUUUUGGGAGUUUAGGUCCCAACAGUUUAGGAAUUAGGGGCCAAAAAGGGACCCAAAUAAGCAUUUUUCUUGGUUUUCGCACCAUAACUUUAGUAUAAGUAAAUAGAAAUCUAUGAAAUUUAAACACAAGGUUUAUGACCAUAAAAGGAAGGUUGGUAUUGAUUUUGGGAGUUUUGGUCCCAACAGUUUAGGAAUAAAGGGCCCAAAGGGUCCAAAAUUAAACUUUGUUUGAUUUCAUCAAAAAUUGAAUAAUUGGGGUUCUUUGAUAUGCCGAAUCUAACUGUAUGUAGAUUCUUAAUUUUUGGUCCCGUUUUCAAAUUGGUCUACAUUAAGGUCCAAAGGGUCCAAAAUUAAACUUAGUUUGAUUUUUAACAAAAAUUGAAUCCUUGGGGUUCUUUGAUAUGCUGAAUCUAAAAAUGUACUUAGAUUUUUGAUUAUUGGCCCAGUUUUCAAGUUGGUCCAAAUCGGG